UACGAAGGGGGCUAGCGUUGUUCGGAAUCACUGGGCGUAAAGGGCGCGUAGGCGGCUUUGUAAGUCGGGGGUGAAAGCCUGUGGCUCAACCACAGAAUUGCCUUCGAUACUGCAUGGCUUGAGACCGGAAGAGGUAGGUGGAACUGCGAGUGUAGAGGUGAAAUUCGUAGAUAUUCGCAAGAACACCAGUGGCGAAGGCGGCUUACUGGUCCGGUUCUGACGCUGAGGCGCGAAAGCGUGGGGAGCAAACAGG
rnacentral:rRNA from 1 species